rnacentral:tRNA from 1 species
GCGGCCGUAACUCAGCGGUAGAGUGUCACGUUGCCAACGUGAAUGUCGAGGGUUCGAUCCCCUUCGGCCGCUCCA